rnacentral:lncRNA from 1 species
CCGAUCCUCGGGCACGCACACAUCCUUCUACUCUUGGUCGAUUUUAUAAUGCGAUAUCCCAGGACUAUGUAUCGCCGACCCUUUCAUUAUUUAAGCACAUGCGGAAGCAGUUAAAAUCCCCAGACAAUAAAACAAUGGGAUAGAAAAGCAGGGCCAUAUUUCUCAUAUUGAAACUUAUAACCAAACUUUUAUACAAAACACAAAUCAAAGCACUUCACAACUUUUUACUCUAAACUCUAUUCACAUCAAUUGAAGUUCACAAAAGAAGAUGGGAUCUCAAUCCAUCCGGGUCGUACUCAAGACCCCCUUCGGAAUUAUCUUCUUCUUCCAAAAAUCAUUUUCCUCAAGUUCGCCUUCGAGUUCUCCUUCUCAAACUCCUCCUCCUCAGCUCCUCAACGGAGUCCUGAAAUGUUUUCCCUAAACUGGGAUGAGACUAUGUCUCAGCGAGUUCUACCCCACUAAGCCCGAUUAGUAAACCAUUAUACUAUAGGCUGCCUAAACACGCAUAGGGCAGAUGACUUACCUUGGCCUCAGAUUCUACCUGCAAGUCAGUACAAUUCGCAUACCUUAUGUAUAGAAUCGAUACAUCCAGCAAUUGAAACGCAUCACUCAACUCAAUAAAUCACAAGGGUCUAGAUUAUAA